rnacentral:rRNA from 1 species
AACGAACGCUGGCGGCAGGCCUAACACAUGCAAGUCGAGCGAGAACUUCGGUUCUAGCGGCGGACGGGUUAGUAACGCGUGGGAAUAUGCCCUUCACUACGGAAUAGUCCCGGGAAACUGGGUUUAAUACCGUAUACGCCCUUCGGGGGAAAGAUUUAUCGGUGAAGGAUUAGCCCGCGUUGGAUUAGGUAGUUGGUGGGGUAAUGGCCUACCAAGCCGACGAUCCAUAGCUGGUUUGAGAGGAUGAUCAGCAACACUGGGACUGAGACACGGCCCAGACUCCUACGGGAGGCAGCAGUGGGGAAUCUUAGACAAUGGGGGCAACCCUGAUCUAGCCAUGCCGCGUGAGUGAAGAAGGUUUUCGGAUCGUAAAACUCUGUUGUUAGAGAAGAACAGGAGAAGUAGUAACUGGCUUCUUUUUGACGGUAUCUAACCAGAAAGCCACGGCUAACUACGUGCCAGCCGCCGCAGUAACAC